AGAGAGAGACAUGCGCGCAUAUCAAUAAGCGGAGGAAAAGAAACUAACAAGGAUUCCCCUAGUAACGGCGAGUGAAGCGGGAAGAGCUCAAAUUUGAAAUCUUAAAGGGUUUCCCUUUACGAAUUGUAGUUUAAAGAAGUGUUUUCUGUUGAGGUUUUGGUAAAAGUUCUUUGGAAUAGGACAUCAUAGAGGGUGAGAAUCCCGUAUUUGACCUUUACUUUCAACUUUGUGAUACACUUUCAAAGAGUCGGAUUGUUUGGGAAUGCAGUCCAAAAUGGGUGGUAAAUUUCAUCUAAAGCUAAAUAUUGGCGAGAGACCGAUAGCGAACAAGUACCGUGAGGGAAAGAUGAAAAGAACUUUGAAAAGAGAGUUAAACAGUACGUGAAAUUGUCAAAAGGGAAGCGUUUGACACCAGUGUUGUUUUUCUGAAAAUCAAUUAAAGAACUGUUUAUGCUAAGUUGUUUAGACUUUAUCAGCUAACUGUUUAGUUUUGAGCUUUUCUUUAAUGCACUUUUCAGUUAACAAGUCAACAUCAAUUUCCUUUUGCUGUAAAAAAGCUUGAGGAAGGUGGCUUGAGAUUCGUCUUAAGUGUUUAUAGCCUCUUGCCUAUGCAGUCGGAGAGAUUGAGGUCUGCAGCGUAGAUCCUUCGGGGCUAAAUGCAUUUGUGCUAAGUUAUAGCAUUUUAUAGACAACUUGUUGACUAUGAUUUGUCUUGUAGCUUACUCGCUUAUGUUAUUUUACCUACGCUUAGGAUGUUGAGCGCAUGUCUCUCUCU
rnacentral:rRNA from 1 species